rnacentral:rRNA from 1 species
GGAUUAGAUACCCUGGUAGUCCACGCCGUAAACGAUGGAUGCUAGCCGUCGGGCCUAAGGUUCGGUGGCGACGCUAACGCAUUAAGCAUCCCGCCUGGGGAGUACGGUCGCAAGAUUAAAACUCAAAGGAAUUGACGGGGACCCGCACAAGCGGUGGAGCAUGUGGUUUAAUUCGAGGCAACGCGAAGAACCUUACCAGGACUUGACAUGCCGGUCGCGGAUUUCAGAGAUGAUUUCCUUCAGUUUGGCUGGACCGUGCACAGGUGCUGCACGGCUGUCGUCAGCUCGUGCCG